UACGUAGGGUGCGAGCGUUAAUCGGAAUUACUGGGCGUAAAGCGUGCGCAGGCGGCUUUGCAAGACAGAUGUGAAACCCCGGGGCUCAACCCCGGAACUGCAUCCGAUACUGCGUGGCUAGAGGUAGGUAGGGGAGAUCGGAAUUCCUGGUGUAGCGGUGAAAUGCGCAGAUAUCAGGAGGAACACCGGUGGCGAAGGCGGAUCUCUGGGCCUUACCUGACGCUCAGGCACGAAAGCUAGGGGAGCGAACAGG
rnacentral:rRNA from 1 species